rnacentral:rRNA from 1 species
CGCCAGACUCCUACGGGAGGCAGCAGUGGGGAAUAUUGCACAAUGGGGGAAACCCUGAUGCAGCGACGCCGCGUGAGUGAGGAAGUAUUUCGGUAUGUAAAGCUCUAUCAGCAGGGAAGAAAAUGACGGUACCUGAUUAAGAAGCCCCGGCUAACUACGUGCCAGCAGCCGCGGUAAUACGUAGGGGGCAAGCGUUAUCCGGAUUUACUGGGUGUAAAGGGGGCGCAGACGGCGAUGCAAGCCAGGAGUGAAAGCCCGGGGCCCAACCCCGGGACUGCUCUUGGAACUGCGUGGCUGGAGUGCAGGAGGGGCAGGCGGAAUUCCUGGUGUAGCGGUGAAAUGCGUAGAUAUCAGGAGGAACACCGGUGGCGAAGGCGGCCUGCUGGACUGCAACUGACGUUGAGGCCCGAAAGCGUGGGGAGCAAACAGGAUUAGAUACCCCGGUAU